rnacentral:lncRNA from 1 species
GUAUAUUGAAUAUAUUAUUAUUAGGGGCCUUAAAAACUCCAUGACUGGAUUUCUACAGGAUUCUGGCUUAUGCAAUUAAAUCGCAAUGAGUACAUCUGAGGUACAUUUCCAAUUAAAAGUAUAAAGUCAAGAAAGAAAAAAAAAAAUAGGUGCAAUUUUCCGAGAUAUUUCGAUUUCUUAGUGUAAUCUAACUAAUACUGAUCACAAGGGUGAUGUCUAUGUUAUUUCAGUGUAAAUAAUUGCAUCCUCAUGUAAAUAUUGUGUUCUUGUUAUUUUGGGUUCACAUAGGUUUUCAUAAAAGUAACAUGUGAGCUGUUCUAUCGUAUUAAACUAAAAUGAAAAUCUGUUGCUUAAACCUGUAUUCUUUUUCUUCUCUGUCUCUAAGGGAUGCUCAGGUUCAACAGGAGAUGAGAGAGGAACAAGGAGAUGAUGGAGCAAUGGGAGACAGAACAGGAGGAUGUGAUUGAUUGUGUCAACAACAAAAGUGAACUUGAAGAAGAAGAUGAGAACAGAGCCAAGCAGUUAAGAUGCCUCAGUACAGCACGGGAGAAAUGAUCUUUACACACAACUUUGAUUUCCAUGGGACACAUACUGUGAUUUUUACUUGGAGAAUAACCAAAAUUGGAAACAAGAAGGAGGAGUUGGGAUUAUUCUCCUUAUUUGAGUGCUUUAAUGAGGACCAAAUGAGUUAAUAUUUUAAAGCACGUGGAAAGUGACUGGAAAGAUGUGUUUACCAAAUGAAUAAAUAAAUAAAUGCACAUGUACA